AACAGUGUGCACUCUAAAGCCUGCUCUUGCCACUCUCUUGAUACUCUGGCAGUUACUGUGCUGCUGUCCUGCAUUUGACUUAACUAAGUGUCCCUAUGAGGACAGGAAUGUUGUCUUCUUUGUGCCACAUCACAGGUUUUGAAAGAAGCAGCUCCUUGCUACUAGGGGUGAUGAGAGUUUUUGCCAUUUGUCCUUCCACUCAUCUGCCCACACCAUGUGUUUACCACUCGCCUCCAAUCCCUGAUCUGCCUGGCAGCACCUAUUUGCUCCUAGGCUCUUCUGAAUCUCAGCAUCUCACUGCCCUAGGAUAUCUGACACUCCUUUCUUGAAUACCUAUAGCAAGAGAGCAUUAAUAUGCUUUGUUCUGAUGGAAUUAACCUGGCAACGCCUUCAUAAAAACUAAGAGGGCUUAUUACACAAGCGUGACAUCAUCAAGGACUCCUACUUAUCCAAUCAGAUUGAAAGGCUGAUGACAAAUCCACACAUAAUGGAUCAGGAUGGCCACCAGGCCUGCUCUGAAGCAUCUCUGCUGAGGUUAAUAGAAUUUAACAUCUGAACUACAGCGACGUGAUGUGAUGGUGGAUUUAAAGGGCACCCAACAACAGUCCACCUGUGACAGAAUUUUGACACUGCAGUCAGGCAUCAAUUGACUAUCACCCAGCAGCACAGAGGGAUGGAUGUGAGAUGUUUUUGCAUGGCUCCAUUAAGUCCCUGCUUUUCAGAUGCCUCUCCUGCUUCCCCCAGAAAUGUCCACAACUCAUCCCCUCCUGAGCCAGGGGAACAACCCUGCAGAUGCCAAUGCCACUCUGCAACGUUUCGCCAAAGUCUUCCAUGCUGUCUCAGACAGGGCUGCAUGCAGCAGCUCUCAGACAACUGGGUAUUUUCCACCAAUGACCAGAGCCUCAUUAACCCAAGCUCUCCAGCCUGUGCACGAAGAAGUCGAAACAUCACCUGUCCUGAAAGAUGUCUCUGUUCUCCCCCAUUGUGGCUUUCAUGCCGGAUAGAUGGGAGUGGCACACCACCUCUUGUAGGCAGCUGGGCUGCGCACUCCAAAGACCCUGUGUGCAAAGCAACUGAUCUAGCAGAGCAUCAACCGACACCUGGAAGCUGCGCUGUCUACUCCCUUGAUACAAGAAGUCUGAACCCCACAUGCCAACAUGGAUGCUGUGCUCCUUCUCUUCCAAUGCAUUAUAUCAUUUACUCAUCACCUGUUUCCUCGAGCUAUUUGCAAAAUGAAGGUGGUCACCGAUUCUCUAAUAAUGUGCCACCAGUUCUUGUUGCUGUGUAUCCAAGGGAACAAGGUUCCCCACCUCAUGUGGAACAGCUAGCCCAAAUUGACCGGACUCCCACACCUGCUAUUCCAGACAGCUACCUUGCCUUUUCUGGGUAAUAGGAAUGUGUGCCAAGUUUGAACAGGGCUGGCCUUUCCAGGGCAUCAUAAAUUAAUGGUCAUUGCAUUAGA